rnacentral:rRNA from 1 species
CAGCAGCCGCGGUAAUACCGAGGGUGCAAGCGUUAAUCGGAAUUACUGGGCGUAAAGCGCGCGUAGGUGGUUUGUUAAGUUGGAUGUGAAAGCCCCGGGCUCAACCUGGGAACUGCAUCCAAAACUGGCAAGCUAGAGUACGGUAGAUGGUGGUGGAAUUUCCUGUGUAGCGGUGAAAUGCGUAGAUAUAGGAAGGAACACCAGUGGCGAAGGCGACCACCUGGACUGAUACUGACACUGAGGUGCGAAAGCGUGGGGAGCAAACAGGAUUAGAUACCCCUGUAGUCCCUGUCUCUUAUAC